GACGAACGCUGGCGGCGUGCCUAGCACAUGCAAGUCGAACGGCAAGGCCCUGCUUUUGUGGGGUGCUCGAGUGGCGAACGGGUGCGUAACACGUGAGUAACCUGCCCUUGACUUUGGGAUAACUUCAGGUAACUGGGGCUAAUCCCAGAUAGGAGCUCCUGCUGCAUGGUGGGGGUUGGAAAGUUUCGGCUGUUGGGGAUGGACGAGCGGGUAUUCAGUUUGCUAGUGGGGUAGUGGCUUACCCAGUCAUUGACCGGUACCCGGCCGGGGAGGGGGAACGGCCACAUGGGUACUACGAUACGGCGCAGUGUCCUACGUGAGGCAGCAGGGGGGAAUAUUGCACAGUGGGCGGAAGCCUGAUGCAGAGACGCCGCGGGCGGGAUGACGGCCUUCGGGUUGUGAACCGCUUUCGCCUGUGACGAAGCGUUAGUGACGGUAAUGGGUAAAGAAGCACCGGCUAACUACGUG
rnacentral:rRNA from 1 species